UUACUUCUUCUUUGUUAGGUCAGAAAUUUUUGGUGACACAAUCGUCGCGCCGCAGCUUCGUCUCCAACCAGAGGUCGGAUAAGAUCCCAUAUUUUGUAGAAAUUGUAUGUGUUUGAAAGGUUUGAAGCUAAGUAUAAGAUUGGUGCUUGCUUUGCUCGCCAUUGCUUGUGGAACUCGACGAGUGUCUUGGUUCCUUCUGCGGAGUUUUCUAGCUUAUCUAGCAAACCCAUGAUUUUCUUCUUUCCUCUACUCGAAAGUUUAUUGAUUUUGUUGCUUACAUACACCUUUUGGGCUAUGAGGUUAAUUUCAUGCUUUCUGUGGUCUGUGGAAUGGGUCUUUCUUAAUUAUCUCACUGGGCGUUUUGCUUUACUCUUAUGUUUAACUGAGUUUAGUGGAGAAAUAUUCAUAAAAGGCUAUUAUUGAUGUUCAUAAAAUGCAUUCAUAAAAGGCUAGUUUUUGUUAAUUCUUGUUUGAUGUUCUUUUGUUAGGUUCUGAGUCAGCUGCUGGUGAAGAAACUGAUGCUCUUGAGUCCCAAACUGCUGCCGUACUAAUAACCGUGG